GAGACGCCGCGCCGCGCAUGCCCCUUCCUUUCCAGCCUCGGCCCCGGAUCCUGCAGCCACCGCGAUGUUGAUGCCCAAGAAGAACCGGAUUGCUAUUUAUGAGCUCCUUUUUAAGGAGGGAGUGAUGGUGGCCAAGAAGGAUGUCCAUAUGCCUAAACACCCAGAAUUGGCAGACAAGAAUGUGCCCAACCUUCACGUCAUGAAGGCCAUGCAG